rnacentral:pre_miRNA from 8 species
GUUCCUGAAACAAGUAAUCAAGAAUAGGCCGUACAGGUGUUAACCAGCCUAUCCUGGAUUACUUGAACCAGGCAG